ACCGUCAUCCAGUGGCCUAGAAUAUCUUGGUGGGUGAUCUCUAUUGGAUAACCAGCUUGCACAGAUGGCUAUUAAAACAUUACUGUGAACUAUUUUUUCUCGUAAACUAAUUGGCUCUUGAAGAAAAACCCCGGUGUACCUUACAUCAAAAGAGUAAAACGAAACCCCAAAACUCAGCACCUGAAGGAACUGCUUGCUCACAUUUAAACAAAAAAGUUGUAAACGAUCAUACUAUGAGAAACUUCUGAAUAAUACUCCUCACUCAAAGUUAUGGAAAAAUAUUAACUCAAUUUUAGAAAAUAAGCAUCAAGUUUGUCAGUUAGUUGAUUUUUUCACACACUGUAAAAUUUUGCCUCGAUUUCCAGCAAAAAAAAUUGCUGGAAACGUUCAGCAAUCGAAAUUUUCGCUGGAAACCAGCAAUCUGUUUUCGAAUUGCUGGUUUUCAGCAUUCGGUUGUGUUCUUGUCAUUUUUGCUGAAAAAUCAGCAAUCGGUUUUCAAAUUGCUGGACUUUCCAGCAUUUGAUCUAGUUUGCUGGAAAAUCAGCAAUCGAGUUGUCAAUUUGGAGUUUGUUUUUGUUCCGUACGCUGAAGGAAGCAACCAGAUAACAAGUCAAUGGUGGCAGAUGAUCAACACUUUGGCACAAAGCUGCCAGCCCAGAGCCGUUGUUAUAGAAUAUUGAAAAAAAAAUCGUGUUUCUGGAAAUAAGUACAUCCCUCUAUUGAAAAAUGGGAGGAAAUAAUUGUUUUUAUUGCUUAUUAUA